rnacentral:rRNA from 1 species
CCCUUAGACGUUCUGGGCCGCACGCGCGCUACACUGACCAGUGCAACAAGCAUCCGUCCUUGGCCGACAGGCCCGGGCAAUCUUUGAACGCUGGUCGUGAUGGGGAUAGACUUUUGCAAUUUUUGGUCUUCAACGAGGAAUUCCUAGUAAACGCAAGUCAUCAACUUGCAUUGAUUACGUCCCUACCCUUUGUACACACCGCCCGUCGCACCUACCGAUUGAAUGGUCCGGUGAAGCCUCCGGAUUGGCGCGCACCUCGGUGCCGCCGAGAAGUUGGCUAAACCUUACCAUUUAGAGGAAGGUGAANUCGUAACA